CAACCAUGUUGUGGUUUUUAUGCUGGGAACAAUCCCAUUUCCUGAGGGGAUGGGAGGAUCUGUCUACUUUUCCUAUCCUGAUUCAAAUGGGGUGCCAGUAUGGCAGCUCCUAGGAUUUGUCACGAAUGGGAAGCCAAGUGCCAUCUUCAAAAUAUCAGGUCUUAAAUCUGGUUAACUAUUUGUAAAGUGUUUCAAGAGACAAGGAGGAAGUAGCGCAAUGCCUCAGUCAGGGAGCAUUCCAGUGACAUCUACAGUGGAGAAUUAUAUGGAGAAUGGGAAACAGAAGAGGCCAAGAUUGGAAGAGCAGGAGAAGGAAGCCAGCACCCAUUUGGAGCCAUGAAUAUUGUGCGAACCCCAUCUGUUGCCCAGAUUGGAAUCUCGGUGGAGUUGUUGGACAGUUUGGCACACAGAAGAUGUUGGACAACUUCUACAAUUUUGCUUCAUCAUUUGCUCUCUCUCAGGCCCAGAUGACACCAAAUCCAUCGGAAAUGUUCAUCCCAGCAAAUGUGGUUCUGAAAUGGUAUGAAAACUUUCAAAGACGACUAGCACAGAACCCUCUCUUUUGGAAAACAUAAUUUGAAUAAAAUAAUUUGUCAUGUCAUGUAAAGGCACGAAGUCAAAUGGGUCAUGAAGCCUACCUUUCAAAAAGAACCUGCUUAGUGACUAUGAGACUUAUAAAACCCUUAUAAAAAUUAGAACCGUUGAACAAGGAAAAUGUUCAAUAUUAAUUACCUUUUCCCUUGUAAGUAUGACAUACUUCUUGGAGGCAAACAUUUUGUAUCAGCUGUCGUUCAUUUCUUAAAAUAAAUCCUACUCACAGCAGUAGCAUUUGAAAUGCC
rnacentral:lncRNA from 1 species